AGAGUUUGAUCCUGGCUCAGAUUGAACGCUGGCGGUACGCUUAACACAUGCAAGUCGAACGGCAGCACGGACUGUAGCAAUACAGUUGGGUGGCGAGUGGCGGACGGGUGAGUAACACGUAGGAAUCUGCCUUAUAGAGGGGGACAACUCGAGGAAACUCGAGCUAAUACCGCAUAAUCUCUACGGAGUAAAGCUGGGGCAACCUGGCGCUAUAGGAGGAGCCUGCGUCUGAUUAGCUAGUUGGUAGGGUAAAAGCCUACCAAGGCGACGAUCAGUAGGUGGUCUGAGAGGAUGAUCACCCACACUGGGACUGAGACACGGCCCAGACUCCUACGGGAGGCAGCAGUGGGGAAUAUUGGACAAUGGGGGCAACCCUG
rnacentral:rRNA from 1 species